GUCUUGGUGGAAUGCAAUGGAGGCGGUAUUCUUCGGCGCAAACCAUCGAACGACGGCAUCGUCGGACUUCGGCUUCUCCUCGUACCGUCGGUGGUCUCUUUUACCAGGCCUACUUUGGGGCUCGAGCUUGGAUUCUUUGCUUUAGUUCGCGAUGGAGUAUCAGUUGGAAGCUGUAGGAGCCGUUGCAAUCAGGGUUUGAGGGCACCCUUCUCUCGGUAGCUCGCGGUAACCGGUCGGUUUCUUCAUAUAGUUCUAGAGUAGUUUGGUCUGAGGCUGUCUCGUUAUCACUCUGUUUUAUCGCUUGUGUUGUAUUGCUCUUAGGUUCGGUCUUUGGUGUUGUCCGUAGUUUGUUAUGGUGUCAUUUUGUCGUUUAUUUUCUGCUACCAGUCGUCUAUUGUAAUGUCUGUC
rnacentral:lncRNA from 1 species